UACGGGGGGAGCAAGCGUUGUUCGGAUUUACUGGGCGUAAAGGGCGCGUAGGCGGUAGCACAAGUCAGUUGUGAAAUCUCCGGGCUUAACUCGGAAAGGUCAACUGAUACUGUGCGACUAGAGUGCAGAAGGGGCAACUGGAAUUCUCGGUGUAGCGGUGAAAUGCGUAGAUAUCAGGAAGAACACCCGUGGCGAAGGCGGCUCUCUGGGACGGUACUGACGCUGAGACGCGAAAGCGUGGGGAGCGAACAGG
rnacentral:rRNA from 1 species